AUGUCUUUCCAUUUGGGCUCAAAUUACACAGAAUGGUUUAUUCUGCCUUCCAGUAGAUGGCUGGAAAGACAACUACUACACCAAGCCAGUUUGGAAAUGAAAGACAAUCUGUUUUACAGAUUUAUAUCAGCUUCUUCUCUGAUAGCUCACCCAAGCUUACUGGGGGGCCCUCUACAGCUGCUAUUUUGCAGUGCUCAGUGGGACACUCAUUCACAUGAUAUGAACUUACAGAUUUCUGUUGCUUCCUUUCUUAGCAAAAAGGUCCUUUCCUAUCAGUGCUUUCCAAGUUACUCUGUUUGCAUAGCUUCAUGACUCUCAAAGGAACACACACCAUGUAGCAUAUAAAUUAGGGAAUUUAUAGUAUCCAUUCAUAGAGCUUGAUUGAUGGCAGGACUCCCAUUUCAGCUCUGUUGUGGGCAUGUCUGAAAGCAGUGAAAGAGGUGAGAUUCUACAGGGGCUAGCAGAGAAACCUCAAAGGAGAGGUCAGAUGUGCUACCAAGGUCAGAAUGUCUUUGUGAGGAAGCUACUUCAUCUAGCUGUGAGUUCAGCAGCUCUUAUGAGAAUAAUCAGUGUAACUGUGUGAUACUGUAAUACUUGUCUCCUGAUAAUUUAAGAAGUGUCGAUAUGCAACCUGGAUUGCAUAAUCUGUCUACUUUGCUUUUCCCAGUGUCAUCAGCAUCGAAAUGAAUAAUGCAACUGAAUAAUGCAGUUCACUCAUUUCUUAUCUUACUGUUAAGCCAUAUGUCUUCUCAAAUACUUGGUAUAUUUUGGCAAAUUUUUUUUCAAUAAUAGUUUUUACAGCAAGAAUAUUAGUUCUCUAAUAGUAAACACCCUCUCCCAACAACGUGAGAAGACUCUACACAUGGACAUCACCAGAUGGUCAACACCGAAAUCAGAUUGAUUAUAUUCCUUGCAGCCAAAGAUGGAGAAGCUCUAUACUGUCAACAAAAACAAGACCAGGAGCUGACUGUGACUCUCACUGUAUAUAUCUCCCAAAUAUUUCUUUCAGCAUGUAUA
rnacentral:lncRNA from 1 species